CCUACGGGUGGCAGCAGUGAGGAAUAUUGGUCAAUGGGCGCGAGCCUGAACCAGCCAAGUAGCGUGAAGGAUGACUGCCCUACGGGUUGUAAACUUCUUUUAUAAAGGAAUAAAGUGAGGCACGUAUGCCUUUUUGUAUGUACUUUAUGAAUAAGGAUCGGCUAACUCCGUGCCAUCAGCCGCGGUACUACGGAGGAUCCGAGCGUUAUCCGGAUUUAUUGGGUUUAAAGGGAGCGUAGAUGGGUUGUUAAGUCAGUUGUGAAAGUUUGCGGCUCAACCGUAAAAUUGCAAUUGAUACUGGCAGUCUUGAGUACAGUUGAGGUAGGCGGAAUUCGUGGUGUAGCGGUGAAAUGCUUAGAUAUCACGAAGAACUCCGAGUGCGAAGGCAGCUUACUAAACUGCCACUGACAUUGAUGCUCGAAAGUGUGGGUAUCAAACAGGAUUAGAUACCCCAGUAGUC
rnacentral:rRNA from 1 species